CAGAAAUCAGCAUCGACUGGACCACAGCCAAAAUGCCAGGAACAAAAGGUAAUAAGUCGGACAAGAAGUCAGCUACCAAGCAACCUCAGAGUCCUAAAGAGCAGCCGAAGAAAGGUGAUCAGAAAGGAGAUGAUAACAAGAAGCAAGGAGCAGGACAGCCGAAGGGAGAGAAGCAAUAACUUCCAGGCGUUUGUGAAGAUGGCUUUGGAGACACUGCUUGGGUCCUGCCGUCGUAAACAUGGGGGCCUUAGGGGCAAGCAGGACUGAGUGCGUUUCUGCAUUUACCCUCCCCCCACCCCCUUGUGCCUGCAGACUGGGCUGUUGUGCGGCCAGUUCCAAUACAGCAUCUGCUCACCUCUCACAGAGGCAGAGAGUGAACCUGCUGAUCUCCAUCCAUCACCAUCUGUUGUUCAACCUCUGGUCCUUUCCUCCCUUUUCCAACCGUUUUCUCUCCCCGUUACCCAACUCUGGAGGCUCAGAAAAAGUCUCCAUGUAAAACCGGACCAUAGCUAUGAACUAGAAUAAGUCUGUCAUCCCUCUUCCAAUCCUUCCCCAUCCCACCCUCAUAGCAUGGUAAACUGUCUAACAGUUACACAUUCUUCUUGUAAAUAAUAGUUCAAAUAAAUACUAUUUCUUACAGCA